CUUAAUUGGGCGUUAAGUUGCAGGGUAUAGACCCGAAACCCGGUGAUCUAGCCAUGGGCAGGUUGAAGGUUGGGUAACACUAACUGGAGGACCGAACCGACUAAUGUUGAAAAAUUAGCGGAUGACCUGUGGCUGGGGGUGAAAGGCCAAUCAAACCGGGAGAUAGCUGGUUCUCCCCGAAAGCUAUUUAGGUAGCGCCUCGUGAAUUCAUCUCCGGGGGUAGAGCACUGUUUCGGCUAGGGGGCCAUCCCGGCUUACCAACCCGAUGCAAACUGCGAAUACCGGAGAAUGUUAUCACGGGAGACACACGGCGGGUGCUAACGUCCGUCGUGAAGAGGGAAACAACCCAGACCGCCAGCUAAGGUCCCAAAGUCAUGGUUAAGUGGGAAACGAUGUGGGAAGGCCCAGACAGCCAGGAUGUUGGCUUAGAAGCAGCCAUCAUUUAAAGAAAGCGUAAUAGCUCACUGGUCGAGUCGGCCUGCGCGGAAGAUGUAACGGGGCUAAACCAUGCACCGAAGCUGCGGCAGCGACGCUGAUGCGUUGUUGGGUAGGGGAGCGUUCUGUAAGCCUGCGAAGGUGGCCUGUGAGGGUUGCUGGAGGUAUCAGAAGUGCGAAUGCUGACAUAAGUAACGAUAAAGCGGGUGAAAAGCCCGCUCGCCGGAAGACCAAGGGUUCCUGUCCAACGUUAAUCGGGGCAGGGUGAGUCGACCCCUAAGGCGAGGCCGAAAGGCGUAGUCGAUGGGAAACGGGUUAAUAUUCCCGUACUUGGUGUUACUGCGAAGGGGGGACGGAGAAGGCUAUGUUGGCCGGGCGACGGUUGUCCCGGUUUAAGCGUGUAGGUGUGUGUUCCAGGUAAAUCCGGUUCACUUUAACACUGAGGCGUGACGACGAGGCACUACGGUGCUGAAGCAACAAAUGCCCUGCUUCCAGGAAAAGCCUCUAAGCAUCAGGUAACAUCAAAUCGUACCCCAAACCGACACAGGUGGUCAGGUAGAGAAUACCAAGGCGCUUGAGAGAACUCGGGUGAAGGAACUAGGCAAAAUGGUGCCGUAACUUCGGGAGAAGGCACGCUGACACGUAGGUGAAGUGAUUUACUCAUGGAGCUGAAGUCAGUCGAAGAUACCAGCUGGCUGCAACUGUUUAUUAAAAACACAGCACUGUGCAAACACGAAAGUGGACGUAUACGGUGUGACGCCUGCCCGGUGCCGGAAGGUUAAUUGAUGGGGUCAGCGCAAGCGAAGCUCCUGAUCGAAGCCCCGGUAAACGGCGGCCGUAACUAUAACGGUCCUAAGGUAGCGAAAUUCCUUGUCGGGUAAGUUCCGACCUGCACGAAUGGCGUAAUGAUGGCCAGGCUGUCUCCACCCGAGACUCAGUGAAAUUGAACUCGCUGUGAAGAUGCAGUGUACCCGCGGCAAGACGGAAAGACCCCGUGAACCUUUACUAUAGCUUGACACUGAACAUUGAGCCUUGAUGUGUAGGAUAGGUGGGAGGCUUUGAAGUGUGGACGCCAGUCUGCAUGGAGCCGACCUUGAAAUACCACCCUUUAAUGUUU
rnacentral:rRNA from 1 species